GACGAACGCUGGCGGCGUGCUUAACACAUGCAAGUCGAACGGAAAGGCCCUGCUUUUGUGGGGUGCCCGCGUGGCGAACGGGUGUGUAACACGUGAGUAACCUGCCCUUGACUUUGGGACAACUUCAGGAAACUGGGGCUAAUACCGGAUAGGAGCUCCUGCUGCAUGGUGGGGGUUGGACAGUUUCGGCGGUGGGGGGUGGACUCGCGGCUUAUUAGCUGGUUGGUGGGGUAGUGGCUUACCAAGGGUUUGACGGGUAGCCGGCCCGAGAGGGUGAACAGCCACAUUAGGACUGAGGGACGGCGCAGUCUCCUACGGGAGGCGACAGUGGGAAGCAUGGCACAAUGAGGGGGAGUGUGGUACAACAACGUCGCGAGCGGGAAGACGUCCUACUGGUUGUGAACCGCAUUCGCCUGUGACGAAGCGUGAGUGACGGUAAUGAGUAAAGAAGCACCGGCUAACUACGUG
rnacentral:rRNA from 1 species